rnacentral:rRNA from 1 species
AGUGAACGCUGGCGGUAUGCCUAACACAUGCAAGUCGAACGAGUGGCGGACGGGUGAGGAAUACCUCGGAAUCUACUCUGUGGUGGGGGAUAACGUAGGGAAACUUACGAUAAUACCUCAUACGCUUUAAUGAGCCGAUGUCGGAUUAGCUAGUUGGCGGGGUAAAGGCCCACAAAGGCGACGAUCCGUAGCUGGUCUGAGAGGAGGAGCAGCCACACUGGAACUGAGAAACGGUCCAGACUCCUACGGGAGGCAGCAGUGGGGAAUAUUGGACAAUGGGCGCAAGCCUGAUGCAGCCAUACCGCGUGGGUGAAGAAGGCCUUCGGGUUGUAAAGCCCUUUGGUUGGGAAAGCGGUACCCAAAGAAUAAGCACCGGCUAACUUCGUGCCAGCAGCCGCGGUAAUUC